UGUCAUAGAAACUAUAUAGCAUUGAUUUUUAGCUAUGAUUUUGAUUCAGUUUUUAAAGUAUUUAAUUUUUAUUAUAUCAGCCCACACUGAACAUUGGUUUUUCAGCAGAUAAUGCAUCUUCCAAGUGCUCCAAGGCGAAGAGCCGCAGAGAAGAAUACUGCAUCUUGAGUCAUACCCUGAAAUUACUGAAUGAAUUACCUGUGGCCAUGUAAACACUCUGCUUCAGUAGGUAGAGUGCAACAGACAAUCCAAUCAUUCAGAACUAAGUUUUUAGUUAGCUUCUGUUAUUCACUGAAGUAGUUUGCAAUUACAGUUGUCUCUAGGUAUCCAUGGGGGAUUGGUUCCAGAACUCCCUGCUGAUAACAAAAUUCAUGGAUGCUCAAGCGCCUUACAUAACUUGGUGUAGUAUUUGCGAAUAACCUAUGCACAUCCUCAAGUAUACUUUAUAUCAUCUCUAAACAUAUAAUACUUAAUAUGUAAAUGCUAUGUAAUUAGUUGUUAUUACUGUAUUUAGUGAAUAAUGACAAGAAAAAAAAGUGUGUACCUGUUUAGUACAGACACUACUCUGUACUGAUUUUUUUUUCUGAGUAUUUUCCAUCCAGGGUUGGUUGAAUCCACAGAUGUGUAACUCACAAAUAUGAAGGGCUGACGGUACCUAGUAGUUAAUUCAGAUUUAUCGCAGUGAUCUAAAGUAAUUUUGCAGUUUACAAGCAUUUUUUUUUGGUUCUAAAAGAAAAAAACAAAACGAAUAUUGGUGAUGUGAUAUUUAUGUAAUGUGAUGAUAUUAUAAUGGCCACGUUUUAAAACUUGAGAAUGUCCUAAGUUCACACACUGUUGGUUUCUAGAUCCACAAGGCUUCUGUAUACAGUUCACGGUCCUCGGCAUUGCUUCUUGUAAUUUUUCCAUCCCAAAGGAGAGCUACUGUACUGACUGUACUUGUGGAAUGCAGCGCUUCAUUAAAUUAAGUUUAUUAAAAUGCAA
rnacentral:lncRNA from 10 species